rnacentral:misc_RNA from 1 species
UCCGGUUCAUCACCGGCAGUCUCCUUAGAGUCCCCAACUAAAUGCUGGUAACUAAGGACAAGGGUUGCGCUCGUUACGGGACUUAACCCAACAUCUCACAACACGAGCUGACGACAGCCAUGCAGCACCUGUCUCUGCGUUCCUUUCGGCACUCCAGCUGCUAAGCCAGAUUCGCAGGAUGUCAAGGGUAGGUAAGGUUCUUCGCGUUGCAUCGAAUUAAACCACAUGCUCCACCGCUUGUGCGGGCCCCCGUCAAUUCAUUUGAGUUUCAACCUUGCGGCCGUACUUCCCAGGCGGAGUACUUAUCGUGUUAACUUCAAGACUGAUAGGUUCCCCUACCAACCUUUAGUACUCAUCGUUUACAGCGUGGACUAC